GGUAUUGGUCUAAAUGUCCUCAAGGCAGCAGAUUCCAUCUGAUCUUGGAAGCUAAGCAGGGUAAACUCUGGUUAGCACAUGAAAGGGAGACCACCAGCAGAUACCAAGAAUUGGUGUUG
rnacentral:rRNA from 11 species